CAGUCGCCGCGGGAAUACGGAGGGAGCUAGCGUUGUUCGGAAUUACUGGGCGUAAAGCGCGCGUAGGCGGUUACUCAAAUCAGAGGUGAAAGCCCGGGGCUCAACCCCGGAACUGCCUUUGAAACUAGGUGACUAGAAUCUUGGAGAGGUCAGUGGAAUUCCGAGUGUAGAGGUGAAAUUCGUAGAUAUUCGGAAGAACACCAGUGGCGAAGGCGACUGACUGGACAAGUAUUGACGCUGAGGUGCGAAAGCGUGGGGAGCAAACAGGAUUAGAUACCCCCGUAGUCCCUGUCUCUUAUAC
rnacentral:rRNA from 1 species